GUUGCCUUCUAUUGUUACAACAUGGAAGUGCUACCACAGGUCUGAUUUGAAUACAGUCUAAUAUGUACUUUUCCAUUUUAGUACCAUAAGAGACACGAGAGAGAUCUACUAGACCAGAAGAAGGAGAAGGAAGAGACACUACUGCUGGAGAUGGAACAGCUAGAGCGACAGCAGAGCGAAGCCAAGCUCACCAGUGAAAAACACACCGAAAAGAAACGGAGGGACAGUAAGACAGGGUUGUCAGGGACCAAGGGCCUGUCUGGAUCCACGUCCGGGGCCACUUUGUCCACCUCCUCCGGUAAAGAGUUGAGGAAGGCCAAACUGGCACGGAGUCGGUCGCUUAGCAGCCACCCUACUACACCCAAGAUGGCUAAUCCAGACAAAACUCUAAAGGUCAAGGAUUCAGGAAGCUGUCCUGGAAAAGGGAAGAACUUGCUUCCUAUGAAUGACAAAGGAAGUCCAACUCUUUCGGUAUGCAGUCGGGGAGGGAGUAAAGCUGGCUAUAUGGGGGCGAUGACAGACCCCUUAGUCCCCGGCGAUGACCUUGAGGUCAAGGCAUUGUGA
rnacentral:lncRNA from 1 species